rnacentral:rRNA from 1 species
GAUGAACGCUGGCGGCGUGCCUAAUACAUGCAAGUCGAGCGAACAGAUAAGGAGCUUGCUCCUUUGACGUUAGCGGCGGACGGGUGAGUAACACGUGGGUAACCUACCUAUAAGACUGGAAUAACUCCGGGAAACCGGGGCUAAUGCCGGAUAACAUUUAGAACCGCAUGGUUCUAAAGUGAAAGAUGGUUUUGCUAUCACUUAUAGAUGGACCCGCGCCGUAUUAGCUAGUUGGUAAGGUAACGGCUUACCAAGGCAACGAUACGUAGCCGACCUGAGAGGGUGAUCGGCCACACUGGAACUGAGACACGGUCCAGACUCCUACGGGAGGCAGCAGUAGGGAAUCUUACGCAAUGGGCGAAAGCCUGACGGAGCAACGCCGCGUGAGUGAUGAAGGUCUUCGGAUCGUAAAACUCUGUUAUUAGGGAAGAACAAAUGUGUAAGUAACUGUGCACGUCUUGACGGUACCUAAUCAGAAAGCCACGGCUAACUACGUG